rnacentral:lncRNA from 1 species
GCAGCCAAAAAAGCCCCAGAAUGGUGGUCCAGCACUGUUCACAAGGACCCUAGUUCCAUCUGACUGAAGGUAAAGACCCAUUUGUGUUUGGAAACUGUCCGCUAGUCACACUUUCGGUAUGGAUAUAUAUGUCCAUUACUCAAACAAACUACUUUGACACUGAAAGUAAUUGUUGGCAAGUGAAGUGUUGUUCACUAACUGUGUUCCUCUGUGUAAUUCUAUCUUUUUGUCUCUAGAGGGCGCUAUACUCCACAGCUGUCCGAACUCGAAGCAAAACCAGCCCAGAAAGUUGUUAAUACCUGUAAGUCACAUCUCAGUGUAACACAACAAUGUCAAUUGUGGUGUUCUUUAACUUUCCCCAUUUCAUCUAAAUGUGAGAAAGAUCAAACAUACUGUCUGUCCUUGUCAGUCUGCCACAGAAUCAACAGCUUUGGAGUGAUCUAAACAUACUGUCUGUCCUUGUCAGUCUGCCACAGAAUCAACAGCUUUGGAGUGAUCUAAACAUACUGUCUGUCCUGUAGUCUGCACAGAAUCACAGAUUUGGAGUGAUCUAAACAUACUGUCUGUCUUGUCAGUCUGCCACAGAAUCAACAGAUUUGGAGUGAUCUAAACAUACUGCUGUCCUUGUCAGUCUGCCACAGAAUCAACAGCUUUGGAGUGAUCUAAACAACUGUCUGUCCUUGUCAGUCGGCCACAGAAUCAACAGCUUGGAGUGAUCUAAACAUACUGUCUGUCCUUGUCAGUCGGCCACAGAAUCAACAGCUUUGGAGUGAUCUAAACAUACUGUCUGUCCUUGUCAGUCUGCCACAGAAUCAACAGCUUUGGAGUGAUUAGACAUAAUGUCGUCCUUGAGUCUGCCACGAAUCAACAGCAUUGGAGUGACUAAACAUACUGUCUGUCCUUGUCAGUCUGCCACAGAAUCAACAGCAUUGGAGAGAAGACAACCACCUCCUCCUCCUCCCUCCCAGUCAGAGUUGCGUGUGGUUCUGCUGGGUAGGUCAGGGUCAGGGAAGAGUGCAGCAGGUAAAUCAUACUGGGGCGGGAGAGUUUGUGUCUCGACCAGACAUUACCAACAGCCGUCACUCAGGACUGUCAGAAGAGCAGGGCCCUCGUUGCCGGGAGACGGGUGGCAGUGGUGGACACUCCAGACUGGUUCCGCUCUGAGCACCCUCCCGAUGUGGUCCGUUCCCAGCUGUCGUCCUGUGUGGCCUCUCGGCCCCUGGCCCCCACGCCUUCAUCCUCUGUGUCCCCGUAGACAACCAGCCCAGGCAGAGCUACAGGCUCUAGGGCCCUAGAGAAAGUCUUUGGUCCCGGGGCGGUCCGGACCCACACCCUGGUCCUCUUCACUCACUCCGAUCGGUUGAAGGAGAGCGGGAAGUGGGAGUGGAAGGUGUGGAGAAGUAUAUCUCCAGCCAGAGGAGAGAUUUGUUAGAGUUGGUUAAACGAUGUGGGGAUCGGAUCAUGUGAUGGAGAGAGGGAGCGGAGGAGAAGAGGAGGAGGAGAGGAAGAGGAGGAGUGUGGGGGAGUUAUUGGAUAAGGUGGAGCAGACGGUAGAGAGGAGGAGGAGAGUGUUUCUCCUGUCCCCUUCCAGGAAGCGGAGGAUAGGGUGAGACAGAGACAGGAGAGAGAGUGAGGGAGAGGAGGGGAAGAGAGAGGAGGUGAAGAGACAAGCGCUUCAUUCCUACUCCAUGCAGCCCUUGAGAGAGACAGAGGAAGAUGUGGAUGAGGAAGAGAACGAGAGAACGAGAGAGGAGGCGGAGAAGAGUGUGAGCGCCCUGGAAUUGGAAAAUCUUCCCUCGCUCUCRUCCUCUUCUGCAUGGUAUUCGUCGCUCCUUCGCUCUGUGUGGGAGAAGGUGGGGGCGGGAGCRAGUAAGGUCCCCAAGCUGACGGCUGGAGGUGCGCUGCUGGGUGGGGUGGUGGGCGUGUUCUUUGGAGGGCCCAUAGGGGGAGCUAUAGGGGCCACUGCUGGAUCUGUGGUCACUGAGGUGGGGAGAAGGAGGUUUAGCCAGACAAAGAACUCAGCAGAAGAGACAGAUGCCACAGGGAGAAUAGAAGGAGAAAUCUUGGACAAGGUGUUGAAAACAGAGUGAGAGAGUCAGAUCCACACACGUUGAUAUGGAUGUACAGUACAGCAUGUUAUGAGAGAUUAUUUGAUAGGUUUCUACCUAUGAUAUAUAUCCACCUGUGACCGCGCAGACGUUGUAUAUAUCUGUGAUUAUAAACUGGGUUGGUCGAGCCCUGAAUGAUGAUUGGCUGACAGCSGUGGUAUAUCAGACAGUAUACCACGGGUAUGACAAACAUUUAUUUUUACUGCUCUAAUUACGUUGGUAACCAGUUGAUAAUAGCAAUAAGGCACCUCGGGGGUUUGUGAUAUAUGGCCAAUAUACCAUGGCUAUAUACCACGUUGCGUCGUGCCUAAGAACAGCCCUUAGCCGUGGUAUAUUUUCCAUAUACCACACCCCCUCGGGCCUUAUUGCUUAAACAUAAUGUUGGUAAUAUUGUAUAUCUGUGAACAUAAUGUUGGUAACAUUGUACAACAUAUACUGAUGUGUAAGUUGUUUUGCGGCAAAUACCGGUUCUCAUUGACUACUUCAAUGUUUUGUUGUAUUUCUUUUCCAGCUAUUACAAUUAUGACUUGUUAAAUAACUCACAUGUGCUACGUCAUUAUUAUUCAAAUUACAUUCAACAUGGUUUCUUUAAAUGUUAAACUACUAUUGUGCAUAUAGUUAAUCUGUUUAUUAAUGCUAAUAAAACACAUUGCAUGAUAAUAUCAUUCAGUUGGGUUUGAAGGCCUACAAUAUGUAAAGUUGGUCCUGCAAAUAUGUAAUAAAACCCAGAGGGGAGGCAGAGGCAARGGGGUAUUAUCUCCAUGUCCCAGACUGCUUUGCCUCACCCUCCAGGCCUCUUGUAUCAGUAGGACUGGAUAGAGCAGGUCUAGGACACCAGCCCCUACCACACCAACCACCUCUCCUCUGUGUGAUCUGAUCCUCAGGGGCCUCCGUAGUUCACCCUACUAGCUCACACCGUCUCACGUCAGAAUUAGACGUUCAUCCAUGUUUCUCAAACGUCACAUUUCAAAGUGUUUGAGGUUGUUAAGUUUAGGUGUUAACUCCAAAUUCUUAAGGUUAGGCAUUAUCCGAAUGGUUCAUGCAACGAUUAAGGUUAGGUCAUUCAUUUGAAUGGUUCAUGCAACGAUUAAGGUUAGUCAUUCAUCCUGAAUGGUUCAUGCAACGAUUAAGGUUAGGCAUUCAUCCUGAAUGGUUCAUGCAACGAUUAAGGUUAGGAUUCAUCCUGAAUGGUUCAUGCAACGAUUAAGGUUAGGCAUUCAUCCUGAAUGGUUCAUGCAACGAUUAAGGUUAGGCAUUCAUCCUGAAUGGUUCAUGCAACGAUUUAAGGUUUGGCAUUCAUCCUGAAUGGUUCAUGCAACGAUUAGGUUAGGUAUUA